rnacentral:lncRNA from 1 species
GGUAACAGGUGGCUACUGCGACCGCACUACCCUUAGCUGCUUGCUGUGCUGUGGCACCAUUGGGCGCUUUACCGUCGUUUGCCGUGGAUGCCUUAGAUAAAGGAGGGCAGCAAGGGCCCACUCGGUUUAUAUUGCUUGCCGAAGUCAAGCAAAUGACUGAUGGAGUUAGAACUUAGCCUUUUUGACCCUGCCAAGAGUUCUCUUGUAAAUGUAAGCACCCAAUAUUUGUGUGCUUAAUAUAUAUUGUUCAAUCGGUGCUUAACUUAAAAUACUUAUACUGGAAACGUCUUAUUUUCAGAAUUAUUUUCAGAAUAACACAUUUGCUUAAUUAAAAACCAGUUUGUGUCAGUCGGAUGGUGGUGGGUGCCUUCAAUCCCAGGAUUCUGGAGGCAGAUAGGCAGAUCUCUGAGUUCAAGGCCAGUCUGGUCCAUAAAGCAAGUUUCAGGCCAGCCAGAGUUGCACAAAGAAACCCUGUCUUGAAAAACCAAAUACCAAACCAAACAGACAAAAACCCAGUUUGUUUGAAGCACUUUGGAUAGAAAAGUAAUAGUGUGACCAUGGUAGGCUAGAAUACGGAAGUUAUAAAGUAAUGAAUUGUUCUUCUGCAUCUCUGACAUUUCCUGGGCAUGUAUAAAGCACAUGGAA